GCUCUCCACCUAGCAGGGAGACCAACGCAGGGCUCAAUCCCAGGACCCUGGGAUCACAACCCAAGCUGGAGGCAAAUGCUUAACCGACUGAGCCAUGCAAGUGCCCCAGGAGACCUACUUUAAUUUGGAGUUAGAGAAGGGACAUUUGAGGCAAGACCUUGUCUUGGUCUGUUUGAGCUUCUCUAACAGAAUACCACACACUGGGCGGUUUAUCAACAACAGAAAUUUAUUUCUCAUAGGCCUGGAAGCUGGAAGUUGAAGAUCAGGGUGCCAGCGUGGUCAUGUUCUGGUGAGGACCUUCUUCCGGGUUAGAGUCUGCCAACUUCUGGUCAUGUCCUCGCAUGACAAAGAGCAGGAGAGGAGGAAGCAUGCUGUCUCCUCAUGACCUCAUCAAAUUCUAACCACCCCCAAAGGCCCCACCUCCAAAUACCACCACAUUGGAGGGUAGGAUUUUACCAUAUGGAUUUGGGGACAAGGACACACUCAGUCCAUAACAGAGAAGUAAUUUCACAAGGGCGAAGUGGAAGGAAAAGUGUUUUAAGCAGAAGAAACAACACAAGUGAAGACCCUGGGAAGGAAAGGAAAGGAUGUAGUCAAGGAAAUGAAGGAAGGUCAACAUGGCAGAGGCACAAUAACUAAGGAGGGUUACAAAGAUAUUCCUGAAGAGGACGGCAGGGACCAGACUGUGCUGGGGGUGUGAGCCACAAUGGUAACUUGAAGGAAGCCUUUGAAGGUUAUAAUGAAGGCCUUGCUUUAGCAGACAUGCCAUUUGUUUGACAUUUCUCUGGCUUUUGUUGAAAGAACGGACAAGGUGAGAGGUAAAGAGGAAGUGAGGGUGUACAGUUGAGACGUGAUGGUAGCCUGGAGUGAUGACAAGGUAAUGGAAAGAAGUGGAUGAAUUAGAGGUCUGUUUUGAAGGUAGAACAGACAACACUUGGAAAGAGAUUGGCUGUUCAGAGCAGAGGAAGAGAGGCAGAGUGUCAAGAAUGUCAGAAGAACAGCUAAUUGACACCCCCCUGCUCAAAACCCAGCCUUCUCUGACCAUCUCCAAUGUCAUAUCCAAGCCUCAACGUCCCUCUCUAUGAAACAGGAACAUUGUUACUCACCUUGUCAGGUUGUUAUACAGAUUGAAGGGGUCAAAGCAUGGAAAGCAUAAAUGGGUAAUGCUCAAAAUGGCCCUCUUAUGAUUAUCCCCUUUGCACCCCAUAUCUUCAUCUUUGCCCUUGGAAAUAUCACUAUUCUUUGUGUGGACCAUACUUUGUCCUCUCUUUGCCCAUCCACUGACUUCCAUGUAAAUUUCCUUUCUCUUCUUUUUGUGCAAAACUGAGGUCAUGCCUUCUCAGUUCAAUUUCCCAUCAUCAACUUUCACAUCCACAGCAAUUUCUUCUGCAAUGUUGAGCAAGGAGUUGGGGUCUCUUCCAGUAUCCACGGGUCCUUUAGGUAUUAUGGUCUAUAUAACAGUCACUCAGGUUUUAUUAUUUUGUAUGGCAACUGAGUCAGCUAGACAUGGUCUUCUGGUCUCCAACAUGGCUGCUAGUGCAUUUGCUCCAGCCGAUGAAGAAUAAAAUGCCCUCCAACAAGGUAUCAUGGACAUCCUCAUUGCCCAUACAGAUGGUUCUCAAGGAAGAACAGUCAUGAUGAGGAAACUCACAUUAGUGCCUCACAAAAAGCUGAUGUCAUCAUGGGAAUUUCUAAAGGAUAAGUGGCUGGCUGUUGUCACAGAAACUAAUUACAACUUCUUGGGCCAGGAGUUCCAAAGUUUGUGGUACUGCUUCUAGAUAACACCCCAACUAAAUCAAUUAAGGAUUAAAUAAGUAAAUGAAGCUUUAAAAUCAACUGGAAUAGGAUCAUGCCAGCAUCAAUCUCCUGGUUUUAACAAUGUAGUAGGGCUAUGUAAAUAUCACUGGGGGAAGAUAGGUGGUGGGUGUACAGAAAAUCUGUAACUCUUAUACAUCUUACACUAUUUCAAACUAAGAGGCUAUCAUUUUUAAAAUCAAAUGCAACUCAAAAGGUUAAUUAUGGCAAUCAGUUUUGAAACGCUCUAUGAUUGUACUUCUACAUGCUUUAAGGAAGAACAAAGUGCCUCAUGAGUCAUCAAAGCUGCAAAAGCAAAAUGUAAGCCAUGUGAAAAGCCAGGUAGACACAACACUAUAAAAAUGCCUCCAUUGACAGAGUCUGAGUUUCUAGCCAGUUAUCUCAGAAGCUGGACUGGCAGUGAUGCUCCCCAGCUCCUGUGACAAGGUUAUCCCCUAAUCUGGGAGGUGCUCUCAGGACUCCAGUACAAAGGCCUUCCACCAAGCCAGCUAACCACCUUCUUCAGUCUAAAUCCUAAAAAGUUCACUGGAUCAAAAGGUCAACCACACAUGUAUUCUCCCAGAAGCCUUGGCACCAAUGUCCUCAAAUAUGCCUGGUAAGCUCAUAAGCAGUAAAGCAGUAAUGCAACGAAGAGUAACAGCUAACAUUGACUGGAUACUUCCAAGCCCUUAGCAUCCACUACCUUAAUUUUCAUAACACAAUCAAGAGUUAGAUAAAAUGAUCUGCCAUUAAGACAGAAAUUCUAAACUGGUUAUUCUUCCCAUGCAGCAAUUAGGACCUGUCUCCCACCUCCACUUUCAUUCCUAACCCUUCUAGAAAUUCUCUGCCCCUCCUCCUCUGAGGUUGAAGAAUUUCUAAGUGAAAAAUCACCCCAUUUUUCUCAAGGGUGGAGGGAGAAUACUCACAGCCACCUUCAACCAAGAGUGUGAAAAAUAAGCUUAGCCAAACCUGAGAUAAACUUUGUAAUGCUGUUGAAAAGACGUAUAAAUCAAACAGCAUUUGUCCGCCUCUCUGCUCUUCAAAAUUAUCAUGCAUGCACCUGAAGCUUAAGCAAAGAAAUCCAUUAAACAAACCGAAAAUCAUGAAACCCAGAUUUAGAGAUGUAUCCCUUCGCUCUAAUGAAUGUCCAAUUCUGAAUACCAUUUUGUCUUCAAAAAGCCCUGAAGGUUCUCAUCUUUGUUAUCUUUCUGUUCUGUUAGCAGAAAUAUUACAUCUUUGAAAAGGAAAAAAAAAAAAGCAUUAUUCCAAGAGCUAAAACCGAAAAGUCUUUGAACUAUUUAGAGAUAAAUCAACUCAUAGUUACCAAUAAACCAAAAAGAAAAAAAGAGACUAUUUCAAACCAAGCAGGCCCCUCUUUACAUAUAUUCAAAUGUUAAUUUCCAAAUCAUCCUUAGACUAUCCACAUCUACAUUCACAUUCUGCUGAAAUGUCAUACAAGCCUCCAUUCAAUCAGUUACACAAUUUAAUUCUUUCUCUAAGGAAGGAGCCGGAUUGUCAGAUAAGCAAACCUCAGGUAAAGCUUCUCGACCCUGAUUCAGGUAGAUAUUACCAGUCACAUAUAACCUCUUUCACCUGGAUGGCAUUCCUUACGAUUCAUAUACAAAUGGACCUGCACUUCAUUUAAAUUUUAAAAUGCUUCUCUCAGCUGUCUCAGUUGCUGAGUUUUGUAAUGAGGAGGAAUAGCAGGAACCCUCAGGGCCUCCAAGCACACUUGGGCUGUGUGUGUACUGUACAAAGGCACUUAGCCAAGGUGAUGAGUGGGGAUAGAAAUCCAGUCCUCCCUCUGAUAACUAGUCAAGCCGUACAGCCUGGUCCAAAGGGCGUCAGGCAAAGGAGGGGAUGCCUUUUAGUAAUUAGUCCCAUUACCCAGAGAAAGCACUGUUUAAAAUUCACCUGUAGAGGUGCCUGGGUAGCUCAGUCAGUUAAGGGUCUGCCUUCAGCUCAUGAUCUCAGGGUCCUGGGAUAGAGCCCCAUUUCGGGCUCCCUGUUUAGCAGGGAGUCUCCCUCUGCCCUCCCCCUUUUUCUCUCCCCUCCCCCACUCCCGUGCUUGUUUUGUCUCGAAUAAAAUGGAUAAAAUCUUUUAAAAAAUAAAAAAAAUAAAUAAAUAAAUAAAUAAAUAAAUAAAUAAAUAAAUAAAUAAAAAUAAUAAAAUAAAAUUCACCUGUAAAUAAGUGGCACUUCUUUGUAAUCUACCUAAAAGAAUUACAGGUGCCAGCUGAGGCCCCAGACAUCAACCACUUGCAGCCUGCCCCCUUAAAAUGAUCUACACUACUUUUAUGUAGAACUGUGCUUUGUCCACAGACUUCCUCAGCUCCAGCCAUUCCCUACUCUUCUCAGGUUUCACCCUUAUUUUAAACUUUGGACUUCCAGUUGUAUACACUGCAAGUACAAGACCCAUUCUUUCUGAUUCUUAUUUUACCUAGAAAUUCAAGUACAGAUGUUUCCUGGAAUACUCAACCCUCGAGAUGUAUAGAUUGUUUUGUAAAGUACAUAAUACAAUUUCAGAGAUGAAGAAAAUGUUGCAUAAAGAUUGAACACACAAAACAGUCUGGUGCCCAAACGAAUACCAAAGAACCCAGUAUCAGUAAACUGAAUAUAUUCUUACUCAAACCUGAUAGGGCAUGGCUAAUCCGGCAACUCUACAAAAUUUACGGUUUUCAUACAUGCCUUCUUUUUUAAUAUCUGUCAUUGAGAUAUAAUUUGCACACCACAGAAUUUACCCACUUAAAGUAUACAAAUCAAUGUUUCUAGAAUAUUCACAGAGUUGUACAACCUUCACCACAAUCAAAUUUAGCACAUUCCCAUCACCAUGAAAAGAAACUUUGUACCCAUUAGUAUUCACUCUCUGUUCCGCCUUCCCCCCAAAUACUGGCAAUCACUACUUUAUUUUCUGUCUCUGUAGAUUCUAGACAUUUCCUAUAAAUGGAUUUAUACAAUAGGUGUUUUUUUAUGACAGGCUUCUUUCACUGACCAUCAUGUUUUCAAGGUUCAUCCAUCUCAUAGCGGGUGUCCAUCCUUCAUUCCACCAUAUGAAUAGACCCUAUUUUGUUUGUCCAUUCUUCAGUUGAUGGGCAUUUGGGUUGUUUCCACCUGUUGACUAUCAUAAAUAACGCUCUGACUUACCUUUUGAAAGUCUCAUUCUGGUGGUUGUGUUGAAAAUAGGAUAGAAUGGCACAUCUGAGACAGGGAGAACAGCGAGGACAUUCUUCCAGGGAUCCCACUGAGAGGUUGGGUGGCUAAUGCUGGGGUAGACAAGUCACAAAUGGCCACAUUCUGAUGUAUUUGCAUAGAACCUGCUUCUGAAGCUUUCCGUGCAUAUUUUUUCUUUUCUAAGCCAUCACUACCAGUACUUCGGUGUAUUUUUGCCAACUUCUUGGAUCACAUGUAUAACACCUUGAUGUAAACACCUACGUUUAUCUUUCUUGCUGAGUAUGUGUUAGGCAUUUAACAAAGUCUCAGCUCCCCCAGGGUUUGCCUGCAUGAACCAACCAAAUCAAAAUCUGCAAAAGGAGAAUUCUCUAGUGUCUCUACAGUUUCGCUGUAAAGAUUUCACGGCCUCAUCCUCUAAAAUUAUUUCAUCAAGUUCAAUGGAUAUGUGUUCUUUAAUUUGUUGCUAGCCCAUUUUUUUUCCAACAACAUUGCUAAUAAUAUUUCUGUAGCAGACUUCUUGUCUAACAUACCAGUUGAAAUGUCAAAAAGUAUAGGGUUUAAAAAGCUUUUCUCUGAUGGAAUAUACUCCUUCAGACAUACAUGGUAACUUGAUUUGAACGAUGUCAAAAGGGCAUUUUCUUGGUUAGAUUAAAAUUUUGUUUGCAUGCAUUUUUCAAUAGCUUUCAGCUGUUGAGUAGUGGCAUCUGUAAGAAGUAGCUGGGAGACUUAGGUAAUAGUAUUUGGUAUAUAUAAAAGCAGCACAGCUCCCUGAGAAAGCUGGUCUCUGACAGAAGAGUGGACUUUAUUCUGCUGGGCACCUGGAGGAAUUUGUCAACAAGUUUGGGAGUAAAAGUCCGAAGGAGCUAGAAUUCUCUGCAAUUAAGGUGGCAACCAAGUAAGCAGUAUCCAUCUUUAUGACAUGAACAACAAACUUGAUUAAAUAAAAUAGGGCAGCAUUAAUUGACCUGACUUGGGCCAUGCUGGAAGUAGACAACCAUCUCAAAUCAAAGGGAUGCUAGAGAACCCUCCUAGAGGGUUCCUAGAGGAAAUGGAGGACACACUCAAAUGGGGUUAUUGAGGACAGUUUAAUGAAGACAUUAUUACAGAGGUGAGGGUCGAGGUAAGAGAAAAAACAAGAGAUGUGAAGAGAUCACCCUUGUCUAAAAAGGAAAGGGGAGAAAGAUGUUUCUGGAACCCAGGGGGCAGUAGCCAUAAGAAAGAGCUGUUGUCUUCAAGUUGGAAC
rnacentral:lncRNA from 1 species